GCCUCAGCUGCCAGCACUGAUGGGGUCACAUAGAAUUAUAUUGAUUUAUGAUGCUAUGUAACCCUUACAGUUCUGGAAUGUAUUGGAUAACACUGGCAACAUUAUGGUGGAUGUGGAGAUGGUGG